CCUACGGGUGACAGCAGUGAGGAAUAUUGGUCAAUGGACGAGAGUCUGAACCAGCCAAGUAGCGUGAAGGAUGACUGCCAUAUGGGUUGUAAACUUCUUUUAUAUGGGAAUAAAACGUUCCACGUGUGGGAUUUUGUAUGUACCAUAUGAAUAAGGAUCGGCUAACUCCGUGCCAGCAGCCGCGGUAAUACGGAGGAUCCGAGCGUUAUCCGGAUUUAUUGGGUUUAAAGGGAGCGUAGGUGGAUUGUUAAGUCAGUUGUGAAAGUUUGCGGCUCAACCGUAAAAUUGCAGUUGAAACUGGCAGUCUUGAGUACAGUAGAGGUGGGCGGAAUGCGUGGUGUAGCGGUGAAAUGCUUAGAUAUCACGAAGAACUCCGAUUGCGAAGGCAGUUCACUGGACUGCAACUGACACUGAGGCUCGAAAGUGUGGGUAUCAAACAGGAUUAGAUACCCCUGUAGUC
rnacentral:rRNA from 1 species